GCACGAAGCCGGAGUUGCUAGUAAUCGCGAAUCAGAAUGUCGCGGUGAAUGCGUUCCCGGGUCUUGUACACACCGCCCGUCACACCAUGGAAGUUGGGGGUGCCCAAAGCCAGCAAGCAAAUAUGCUGUCUAAGGCAAAACCAAUGACUGGGGUGAAGUCGUAACAAGGUACC
rnacentral:rRNA from 1 species